GGCCAAGUGGUCUAGGGGUAUGAUUCUCGCUUCGGGUGGCGAGAGGUCCCGGGUUCGAAUCCCGGCUUGGCCC
rnacentral:tRNA from 1 species